rnacentral:rRNA from 1 species
UACGGGGGGAGCAAGCGUUGUUCGGAUUUACUGGGCGUAAAGGGCGCGUAGGCGGCGCAACAAGUCACUUGUGAAAUCUCCGGGCUUAACCCGGAGCGGCCAAGUGAUACUGUUGUGCUAGAGUGCGGAAGGGGCUACUGGAAUUCUCGGUGUAGCGGUGAAAUGCGUAGAUAUCGAGAGGAACACCUGCGGCGAAGGCGGGUAGCUGGGCCGACACUGACGCUGAGGCGCGAAAGCGUGGGGAGCAAACAGG